CCGGCCAAUGAACUCUUUACCUUUUGAAUUCUAGACUGGGGAUGCCCUUAAAAUUGAAACACACAAUUGUAAAGUAAAAAUGUAAAUUUAUGAUUCUGAAACAAUCAACAUGAUCAAUUCACAAUACUUCAACAAAAAAUAUCAAUUUCACAAAAUGAAAAUAUGGAUAAGCCUAGAUAGUAGCUAUUACAUUCAUGACAUUGUAUUAUAGGUAGAUAAAUUUACUGAGUGAGAGUAUACAUGGUAUAUACAAGUUUUAUUGAUGCUACACUGCAUAGCUUUCAUGAUGUCAAACAAGGACAAAUCACGGGUUACUGUCCUGAGAGACAAAUAUGUUUUCUUUCCACAUGUAUUACAUAAAUUUACAUAUCUAACCAUCCCUUCACCUUAAAAGUGAAUCGUUUUUCACUGCAUGUUGUCUGAGAGGAUCAACAUAAUCUGUUGAGUCAUUGCUUCACAUAUUUUCUGCAAUCAACCUUUCCUUCUUUUUUUCUCUUUUAUAUAAUUUGAAAGCCAGCUUUGAAAUUGUCAGAAACCUGGCCGAGAUGGGCUUGUCCUUUGUAAUUAUUGAGGGAUGUAUACAAUGAAUGAAAAUCAAAUGAAUGAUAUAUAUCUGAUAAUGAUAUAUCAAAGUACCAGUUGAACCUGGACAGUAAUAAAUCAUAAAACCCUGAAUUCAAUCAUGUGUCAUUACAAGGGUGAAGACCAUGUACAGUACUACAUUGUAGUAUGCUAGAACUACAAUAAUUUACACUUGCCAAAGUUAUACAUACAUGUAUGUAACAAAAGAACACAUAAAUCAUUUAGUGCUGUACAUAUAUAGACAAUUACACUAUCUGGUUUCAAAAGUUUGACUUUAUUAAAAUAUUGUGUUAAAAAAUUGACAAAUAAUUAGGGCCAGUUGGGUUGGUUGUAAUCAAAAUUAAUACUAAAUCAUGAUAUUGUAAGUUGUUAUAGUCCACCAAUCUCCAACUUUACUCUUGAUUGCUACGUAAUUGUAAACUAAAGGUCGCUUGAGGGCCCAGAAUUCUUGAGUUAGGGUGGUAGAAUCACAAAUAUUUUUUUUGUAUGCCUAUAUCAUACUAUAUAUAUAUACAUAUAUACAAUGUACAUGUACAAAUACAUUUGUAGCACCUGGUAACUAUUGAUUUUGUUCUGUAACAAAUGUACCAUGGUAACAAAUAAAUAAUAAUCACGAUAAUAAUAGUACUUAAUAAAUAUUAUCUGAAAAAGAAA
rnacentral:lncRNA from 1 species